GAGCUUCAGGGAAGAUCAAGAAUAGGAGAUCAUCCUGCAUAACAGUCGUCUUGCUCACUGCAAGGCUUCUCUCCAGAUAACCAUCCUAUCAGCAAUGCUGCCCUGCUCCAUAGUGAUCUGGCUCUGAGUUCAGCUGCCCUCAACAUCCUUAAGUAAAGUAGUGAAGGCUUGGAUUCUUCAGAUUUUCUUUAUCCUAAAGAAAAUAUGAUAAGAACACCUUGGGACUGUCAUAGCCCUCCUAGGAACUUGGGCGGCCUGGGACGAUAGAUUAUCUAGGUGCUGCCAAUCGUGGUACUACUCCUUCUCCAAAGGAGAUGAUCUGCAUCUGGAGCUGAGCCAUCCAUUGGAUUAAGUUAAUCUUCGCAAAGCGCCUGUGCCUAGCACAUCCUGGGGAAGGAAGGACUUUUUUCCAAGCAAGGUAUGAUGGCUCAAAUCAACCAGCCAACUUCUCUCUGCUGGAGGACGAUGUCUGAACAAAGGGCAAUCCAACACCCAAGAGAGAAUCCAUAGCAUUUGUGGAUGCUAAAACCAGAAAUCCUGUGGAGCCUUCCACUGUUGGAAGAGGAAUAUGACUUGAGUGUGAAGGAGACUAACUGCUGGUGACUGGGGACCAAUCCUCUGCAAAGCAGGUUGCUUGAUUGUUUCUGCUCAUCACCACCAGAUUUUUAAGAACAGCAAUGCACCCUCGGGCCAUGCAGGCAGCAGUGUCUGAAGGCUGCUUCCAAGCUGACUUUUGGCUAGCAGGAAUGAUUCUGAAAGUUGGAUGAGACUGAAUCGAGCAAGUGAGAAAUCCAGACAUUUCACCAGUGAGGAGACUAAAAGUGCACAGAUACCUUGAACAUUGAAGACCCAGCUGAAGAGAGCAUUAAAGCGUGGCCAAGGGCGGGCAAAGCUGGAGGAUAACACAACUGAGGCAAUGGAAGAAAACAGCCAUCACACUAAUACAACACUUGAGGACUUUUUUUUUUUUUUUAAAAUUGUAUGCUACCAAGGACAUUUCUGACAUUAAGCAAAUAGUAGGAGGAAAAUACAAAUACAAAUGUAUGAAUACUCCCAGAGGCCUUGGCCAUAUAGCCCAUGCACUCCUCUGCCUGAUCAAGUUUGAUUGAUGCUCAGGUACCUCAGCGUCCACUUCAUCUCCUUGAUACCAAGCCAGGAGAUUCCAGAUGCUACGUCUGUGCCAUCCCAGGGAUUCCUCCCGUGCUCUGCAAGGACCUCUGCAACUGAAGUGUACAGACUCAUGGUCCAUCAGACCCUGCAAACUUCACUGUUUUCACAGAGAUGUAUCUUUAGGGCUGAUGCAUCCCUUUAUGUUCGUGUCUGAAUGAAUUGUUGGAGCUUCAGAGAGAAAAUGCCUUCAAUAUCAUCUGUGGUAUUGCUUUUAUCAGCUGCAGGCUGUACUUUACAUGGUCUCUCUGUGUGUCAGAGGAAGAAGUGACUGACCUGACUCUUGCAUUCAAACUUCCAUAAUAAGUAUUUAUGGUUUUCCCUAGGCACACUGGCUUUAUGUCCAGAAAACAAGGUUUUAGUGACCAGUGUGUCUUCCUUUGCUCAGCAUCAAGCCCUGAGUUCUAUUUUCAUUUUUAUCAAUAGCUCUUUCCCUUCCUGAUGACAAUUCCUUUCAAACAUUUGUAGAUUGUUUUAAAGUCACCUUUUAAUCAUCUUGUAGAACUGGGCUGUGUAUACUUAGCUCCAUUAACCUUACUUUAUUUAGCUGCUAUACAGCAAGGCAAGAUGCUCCCAUCAAAUAACCUUCACCUUCCCCUCUCUGUCUGAAUGGUGACUACCCUCAAUCCAAGGGACUGGGCACUUCUGCAGCCUGGGGUGCUCCACAGGUGGGUCUGGGUCAGGGUGAUGGAAAAGAGCAUUUCACCCCACUUUACAGUCUGGAAAUGUAGGGCAGCAAUCCAAAAUAACGCUUUUUGCUUUUAAGAACACUAUAUUCAUCCUCUAAAUCAGGAAAGCUAAUUGGUCUGGCUGCUCUGACAGUAUUUUCUCUUGGGAAAAAAAGUUGCACUCCUUCAACAUUCAGAGCUUUUUAAUCCUGGUGCCAAAUGCAUUUCUCUGAAUUAAUAUUGGUGGAAUGAAAAGGCUUUCUUCUCUGCUUCAGCCUUCUCUCCCAGGAUAAAUCUUUUUGGAAUUUGCUUUAUAUAUUGUGCUUUUGAAUGUUCUUUUAAAUGUUAAAAAAUGACUGUGUGAGAAUGUCGCCUUCUCAUUAGCAAAAUUUACUACAUAUUUUCCUCCAUUGUUACCAGUACAGUUCCAGCAGUGUUAACAAUGGGAACCCUAGAGCAAAUGGUCUGGCACCAGCACUUGUCAUCUAACUACGGCUGGUCAAAAAUGUGUUUGAAAAGUGGUUUUGUGUUUUUUAAAUGUGCUUGUUUUAAGUAAGCAUUUCCAAAUGAAUUUUUAAAAUUAAAAAAAAUCCAAUUUUUAUUAUGUUUUAAUCAGGAAGAUAUUGGGGGUUUUGGUCUUUUUUGGAAAACCUAUGGUGGUGAGUAAAAUAAAGUAAGUUCUCCACUCCCCUGCCUUGUUCUUUACUUGGGGGGAGGAUGAUAACAAAAGAAGAC